UGGCGUAGCGCGCAGAGCCUCGGCUUGGUGAGCCGAAGGUCCCGGGUUCGAUUCCCGG
rfam:Habropoda laboriosa contig5529, whole genome shotgun sequence.